CCUACGGGUGGCAGCAGUAGGGAAUAUUGCUCAAUGGGGGAAACCCUGAAGCAGCAACGCCGCGUGGAGGAUGAAGGUUUUCGGAUUGUAAACUCCUUUUGGUAGAGAAGAUAAUGACGGUACCUAACGAAUAAGCACCGGCUAACUCCGUGCCAGCAGCCGCGGUAAUACGGAGGGUGCAAGCGUUACUCGGAAUCACUGGGCGUAAAGAGUGCGUAGGCGGGAUAGCAAGUCAGAUGUGAAAUCCUAUGGCUUAACCAUAGAACUGCAUUUGAAACUGUGAUUCUAGAGUAUGGGAGAGGAAGGUGGAAUUCUUGGUGUAGGGGUAAAAUGCGUAGAGAUCAGGAGGAAUACUCAUUGCGAAGGCGAUCUGCUGGAACAUAACUGACGCUGAUGCGCGAAAGCGUGGGGAGCAAACAGGAUUAGAUACCCGAGUAGUC
rnacentral:rRNA from 1 species